rnacentral:rRNA from 1 species
ACAUCGAAAGCUUGCUUUUGAUGGGCGUCGACCGGCGCACGGGUGAGUAUCGCGUAUCCAACCUGCCCAUCACUUGGGGAUAACCUUGCGAAAGUAAGACUAAUACCCAAUGAUAUCUCUAGAAGACAUCUGAAAGAGAUUAAAGAUUUAUCGGUGAUGGAUGGGGAUGCGUCUGAUUAGCUUGUUGGCGGGGUAACGGCCCACCAAGGCGACGAUCAGUAGGGGUUCUGAGAGGAAGGUCCCCCACAUUGGAACUGAGACACGGUCCAAACUCCUACGGGAGGCAGCAGUGAGGAAUAUUGGUCAAUGGACGAGAGUCUGAACCAGCCAAGUAGCGUGCAGGAUGACGGCCCUAUGGGUUGUAAACUGCUUUUAUAAGGGAAUAAAGUGAGAGUCGUGACUCUUUUUGCAUGUACCUUAUGAAUAAGGACCGGCUAAUUCCGUGCCAGCAGCCGCGGUAAUACGGAAGGUCCGGGCGUUAUCCGGAUUUAUUGGGUUUAAAGGGAGCGUAGGCCGGAGAUUAAGCGUGUUGUGAAAUGUAGACGCUCAACGUCUGCACUGCAGCGCGAACUGGUUUCCUUGAGUACGCACAAAGUGGGCGGAA